rnacentral:rRNA from 1 species
UAAGCGGGAUGUGAAAUCCAAGGGCUCAACCCUUGAACUGCAUUUCGAACUGGCAGACUUGAGAAUGGGAGAGGAAGCUGGAAUUCCUAGUGUAGGAGUGAAAUCCGUAGAUAUUAGGAGGAACACCAAUGGCGAAGGCAGGCUUCUGGCCCAUCUCUGACGCUGAGGCACGAAAGCGUGGGAGCGAACGGGAUUAGAUACCCCGGUAGUCCACGCCGUAAACUAUGGAUGCUA